rnacentral:rRNA from 1 species
CCUACGGGAGGCAGCAGUCAAGCGUUUUCUGCAAUACGCGCAAGCGUGACAGAGUGAGCCAGAGUGAUUCUCAUUAGAGAAUCUUUUGUGAGAUGUAAAAAGUCUCACGAAUAAGGACUGGGUAAGACGAGUGCCAGCCGCCGCGGUAAUACUCGCGGUCCAAGUCGCAGCCAUCUUUAUUGGGUCUAAAACAUCCAUAGCUUGCUUAAUAAGUCUCUUGUGAAAUUUUAUGUCUCAAACAUAAAGCGAGCAAGAGGUACUGUUGAGCUAGAGAUUGGUAGACGUAAGAAGUACAUUCGAAGUAGCGGUAAAAUGUGUUAAUCUCGAAUGGACUAACAAAGCGAAGGCAUCUUACGAGAACAAUUCUGACAGUAAGGGAUGAAAGCUAGGGGCGCAAAACGGAUUAGAUACCCCAGUAGUC